rnacentral:rRNA from 1 species
GACGAACGCUGGCGGCGUGCUUAACACAUGCCAGUCGAACGGAAAGGCCCUGCUUUUGUGUGGUGCUCGAGUGGCGAACGGGUGAGUAACACGUGAGUAACCUGCCCUUGACUUUGGGAUAACUUCAGGCAACUGGGGCUAAUACCGGCUAGGAGCUCCUGCUGCAUGGUGGGGGUUGGAAAGUUUCGGCGGUUGUGGAUGGACUCGCGGCUUAUGAGCUUGUUGGUGGGGUAGUGGCUUACCAAGGCUUUGACGGGUAGCCGGCCUGGGAGGGUGAACGGCCACAAUGGGACUGAGGUAGGGCGCAGAGUCGUACGGGAGGCAGCAGUGGGGAAUAUGACACAGUGGGCGGAAGCGUGAGGCAGCAAUGCUGCGUGCGGGAUGACGGCCUUCGGGUGGGAAACCGCUGUCGCCUGUGACGAAGCGUGAUUGACGGUAAUGGGUGAAGAAGCACCGGCUAACUACGUG